AUAACCUUAUCUCAAUCUUAAAGUUAUUCAUGAGCCUAUGGAAGACUGGGAUUGGUAUAUUCAAGGAGGAGGACAAAUGUGAAUUUUAACCAACAAUUUGCAUAUGAUCAGGGAGUGCUGACCCCAAGCAUAGGGUCCUGUCAGUUUUUAGAGCCCAGGGUGAGGACAAGUCUUACAAUAUAUCUGCUGACCUGCUGAUUGGCUGGGGAGAGGGAACUUAUGAUACAUUUACUGAUUGGUUGGAGGCAUAUAAAUUCUCUAUAGGGAUGGGGUGAGAAGUGGGCCACAUACCAUUCCUAGUAGGAGUAGGCCAGGUUGCUCAAGGUGGAGGAGGGGGAAUUACAAGGACAUAGGUGGGGCCAUGCUAAGGAUCUGGUAAUCUAGUCUUGGCCAGAGGCUUUGAGUUCUAUCUCUUUGGGGAGGACUUGAAGUCCCACAAUGCUGUCAUUAGGGGCAGGUGUGCAAGACAAACUCCCUAAGAGAGUUCUUUCCCCCAAGACUUUGACUAUUUCUUUCCAAGGGGCUUCCAAGCUCUUUUGCUUGGACUUCUGCCCAGUCAUGUUAGUUCACUUCCAGAAAUCCAGACAUGUUUGCAACCCAGCAAAGAGCUCAGUUAAGGCUCAUGAUGGACUUCUACUAUAUAGUGAAAUUAUCAAUUCUAUUUAUAUCAUUAAAUACACUGACAUAGGUUUACUUGUUUAUUUUCUCCCUCAUCUCCAAAUUUUGUCUUUCUAUGUUUUGUUCUGAAUGUUUUUCUUGUUAUUUGUAUAAGAUAGUUAUUUUUGAUCAGUUUAUUAUUGUCUUAAUAGAUGGAUACCUUUUUUUCUUCAAUUUUAUUUACUUGGAAUUAAGAUUAAGGAGAAAUGUCAACCAAUUUGAUGCAUUUUUCCCCCAUAGAAAUUGCAAAAGCAUAAAAAUUGGUAAGCUCUUAAAUAACUGAAGUCUAUGUCCAUUAAACUUCUAGUCGGUUUUAAAGAAGAUGUAUUACACUACUUUAGAGGAUGCUUGAGAUGAAAUUUCUUCCAUACUAAGAAAUUACAAAUUCUAUAUACUUGCCUUCUCUACAUUACAUUUCCUUUGGUUUACAAUUUUUAUAUUCACCUUUGGAAACAAAGUCCAAAAUUCCACAUUGAAAUGAUAAACAUUAACUGUUUCAUUGAGAAAAGUAUCUUUUUUUUGAGAUAAAAAUACAGAGGCAUAUCCCUCAUGCUCCAUCUGUAAUUUCACUCUCCAGUGGCAACUUGAAGACACAUUAAAUGUUAUUGAAUUCGUCCUAAAAAAUGCCUGCACAACAGACCCACUCUGAGAGAUGAAAUCAGAAGAGUUCCAAAGUAAAAGGAAUGUUCCCUUUCUCAGUAGGCUGGUUAAUUUUAUGUGCAUUCAUUUUGAUUGAUUUUUAAAACUGAUAGAAAGGAAGUAAGUUUUUAGUGCAGAAACAAUUACAGCAGGAACUGCUAUCCUUUACUGAAUGAACUAUGCUAUUUAUAAAGGAAGAAAAUUACAAAAGGUUUGUUUCCUGCUGCUAAUUUUGCUAGGGUACCGAAUUAGUAUGACACUGCUGGGAGCUGCAGGAGACCUUUAUGAUACAUGAGCAUGAAGGAGGCGACCUGACAAGUGGUGUUAAUCAUUAAAAGCUCCAGUCAGAAGGGCCAGAGAGGAGUUACCCCUGCCCCCACCUCCCAAAGUCAGUGUGGAAGAUAGUGUUAAGUAAAAUAGGAGGUAAACCAAAUCAUUCAUUAAUUUUUUUACUUGAAUCUGUUGGAAGUAAGAAACAAAAUUCUUGUUGGGAACAAGUGAUCAUGUUAAAGGACAAUCAACAACAAAAUUAGUCUAUCUCUAUGUUCUUUUUUUUAGCUCUGCAUUUAAUUAUAUUAGUUUGCCAGAGCUGCUUCAAUAAGGUAUUAUAAACAUAGUGGCUUAAACAAAGAAAUUUAUUAUUUCACAGUUCUGGAGUCUAAAAGUCCCAAAUCAAGGUGUCAGUUGCAACAGAGGAGAACAAAUAUGACUGGAUAUUGGAUCUAUUCCUUUAGCUCUAACACUUGUGUUCUGUUGCCUGAGUUUAGUCAUGCUGGUUUUGCACUUUUGUAGAAUAUACAUGAUAGCCCAUUCUCAAGGCUUUGACCUUUAAAGAUAUAAUACUCCAUUUACAUAGAGAGAGAAAGUUGCAGAACAGAAGAUAGCAAUUGUUUUGUUGGAGGUUUAUAGGAACACUGUGACCAGAGCUAUGCAGACAGCUGCAAGAACAAAGGGUUCUGUCACCAAGAAGUUUGCAACAACCAACCAUGUCCCUUCCUCUUUAGUAUAAAGGAAGACUGAAUUCUAGCUUGAGUACAAUGGUUCUAACUUGGGCACACUAGUCCACAACCUUCUCAAUGUGCUGGCUUUCUGAAUAAAGUUGCUAUUAUUUGUCAUAAUAAUUCAUCUCUCAAUUUAUGGGCCUGUGGUGCUAUAAGCAGUACAAGCUUGGACUUGGUAACAAGCAGGUUUAGAUCUUUCUGAAAGCCAAAUAAAGAAAUGGUUCCAUGCCUCUUCUCUAGCUUCUGGAGGUUUGCUGGCAAUCUUUGUUGUAGAUGAACAUCCCAUCCAUCUCUGCCUUCAUAUUCACAUAGCUUUCUUUCUGUGUGUCUAUCUUUAAAUUUCCCUCUAAUAAGGACACCACUCAUAUUGGAUCAGAGUCAACCUUAAUGACCUCAUUUUAACUUGAUUAUCUCUAUAAGGAUAUCUUAUCUCCAAGUAAAAUCAUACACUGAAGUGCUGAGGGCUAGGAUUCCAAUAUGCCAGUUUGGAGGGGAGUGGGGAGAUGCACUUCAAUCCACAGUAUGAUUAAAAAAUAAUUAGUGAGCAAGUUGGACUUUCAAUUUGUAGCUAAAACAAUUUAAAGUUUACUUGAGGGAUGAAACAUACACUUAGCAAAAUGUUUGCAAGGGACAGAAACUGGAAAUAUGUAUAUAUUAAAGUUUUCUCAAAUACUUGUAAAUUAAAAUUUUUUUGCAUUAUUUAUAGAUACGGCUAGUUGAAUGUUAGUUCUAUAACUCCCUUUUUUACAUGAAGAAGUCAAAUUUACCUUGAUGUUAAAAGCCCUGAAGAAACUCUAAAGCUAAUAAGAGACAGACUAUACCAGUUCAGUAUAAAGACUAACAGAGCACCCAAAAUAGAAGGUUGACACAGACUAUUCUUUCUGGGGAAAUUUUGUACUGAGUAGGUCUUUUGCCUUCUGGUGACCAAAAAAUAUGCAAAUAUAUAUUUUCAAUUUUUCUGUAUGAAUAAAAUCAUCACAUGUAGGUUCUGGAGAGAACAUAAAUCUUAAAGACAUACAUAGCACCUCUGCGGGGAAUAAAAUUUUCAUCAGAAGGAAGAACACUGUCAAAGAGAAUUAACAUAGUAUGUGUCAGUGCUGAACAUAAGAGAAUCAUAUUUUAAAUUUUACAAGUCUUGUAACAUCUCUAUUGUUAUAAAGUCACUGCAGAAACGAUUAUUACAAGGGUUAUUUUCCACUAUGUAGGUGGUAAAUGCCAAUGGGAACAUAAUCAUGCUUUCAACCAUCAGUGACCGUAUUGGACAUAUCUCGUAAACACAUUUGGUUUCCACAACAUCCAUGUAUCCUAGGAUUGACAAUUAUCCUACUAGAAAACUGUUGCCAAGACUGCUUGAAUAACGAAGUUUUCCCUUUCUGUUGGUUUUUAUGUUUUUUUAAGCCAUGCAGCUAUGGAAAGCCUAUUCUCUUCUUCAUAGUCUUCCUUCAAUCUGUCUUUAAAAUAUGGGAUUCUUGCCUCCCUAAGGCUAUAUCCAGUGGUUGAGGACUGACAGGGAAUUCUGACUACUGACCUAUCCUCAUAUGCAAAUAAUUACGUUUCACAAGAAAAUCUCAAUUUGAUCAUAACAUUUAGCAACUCAUUUCUUCUCCAGAACUCGUAAGCCCUUGUAGAAUAUUGAAUAGCCAACUGCCAUGCCAUUUGCACGUGUUUGGUCAAAUAAAGAAUUUUAAUGCAUUAUACUAUGAUGAAAGCAGACCAUGUGUGCCAACAUGAAACAGCAACUAUGUACAGCUCACAUGAGAGUUUUAUACAUUUGUAAAGUACUCCUAUCAUGCUUUUUUUAAAAAAACAACAGCAAUUAACAACUAAACUUUGCCUUUGGAAGUGGACUGGCAGACAUUAAUAUCAUUAAUGUCACUUACAGCAUUGGGAGUUCAUAUUUAUAAAAUCCAUUUUAAGAAAAAAGAUCUACCCAGAUGAUAAAAGAAUUUUAAUUUUUAGAAUCCAAUUUAUCAUUUUCCUUUGUGGUUAAACUUAUCAUGCUUACCCAGCGCUAACUUCCUGUAAGACCUGUCAUACCAUGUGACACACAGCAAGUAUUCAACAGAUACUGAGUUAAUAGAACUGUUACGAGAAUAACCAAUAAUGAUUUCAAGCUCUAAAAAAAUUCACUAUACCCUUUUUAAAGCACUUACAUCCUAGGAAUGCAUUAUUAUGAUUCCCAUUUUAAAGAGAAAGAAAAGGCUAAAUAAGAAGAUAAACAUUAAACAGAGUACAAAUGGGUUUUGUACCCCAGUUGCAACCCAUUGGAACCAAUGCCAUAACUAUUACACUGGACAACAUUUUAAGGAUGGAGAUACUUAAAGAAUAAAAGGUGCUAGAAAAUGUGUUUUGUUUUUAUUACAGAAUAAUCUUAUAAUAUCUGGCAGCAUUUUACUUCUGAGCAAGUUUUGUGAGAUUGUUAAGCCAAAGGCAACAAUUCCUUAUACUAGGUCAAGGCAGCCUUGGUGUUUUCCCUGUAAUGAAUUUAUUUUUAGAAUUAUGGUUUUCAGAUAUGCUUGCAAUGAUUUAAUAGGAGUUCACUAUCAUAGGUUGUCACCAUGAAGAAUCCUCAAAAGAAAAAUGUUGAUAACCACUCUCCUGUAUUCACUCCACCAAAAAACAGAACAAAAGAAAACAAAAUCAGCCAACUGGGCUCAUGUAAAAAUAGCCUAAAUGCUGAAGUUCUGUAUAUUUUCAAGGUGUAUUUAUGUGAGCACAACAAUUAUGGAAAAUAAUUAUGGAUUCUCUAGUUUCAAGUCAUUAUUCAGCAGAUUUUUUAAAAUAACCUCAGUAUUUUGACAGCAAUCAAUUUAUACUGAAAGCUUAUUUAAUUUAGAUAUACUGUAAUACAUGGAGGAAUGAUUAAUGGAAUAGAAAUAAAUCCUUUGACAUUACCUGCCCUCCAGGUUAAUUUAGAUGAGGAUAUGCUAAUUACUUGACUAUGCUUGAGUCAUACAUCCCAGUACUGGAAGCAUUUUCUCAUUUAAAAAGCAUUAUUACUUGCAAAAUUGCCUAGCGUAUGUAUGCAAUACUAUUUGUUCCCUUUUUUGAAAAUUUCAACUUCAUAUAAUUUUAAUGAGAAUUAUUUUUGAAGUUUCUUACUGAUUUUUAAGGACUGAAAUAGAGAUAAUUUUAUGAGUUUAAAGUAAUCUAUGGCAGUUUAUCUAGAUUCUAAAGUAUUUUACAGCUGUAUCAAUGAAGUAGAUAUAGCCUGAUGCAUGGAUUUGAGGGGCAAAUCUAACGUAAGGAGAACAGAGGAGGAAUAGGUACUACUAUAUUUAGUAACUGGCCAUUUAUUUUGAACAGAUUACCUUGGCUAAUUCCAACUGUUGUCUUCUGGUAUGAGGUGAUUCUUUCCAUUCCCUAAAAUUAUAAGAUAUUUCUGACUUUCUGGUAAAUUACACUUUUGAACUUAAAGAACAGAAAAAACAGUAUCAGCUUCACCUGGAAAUAUCUGAAGUUCCUAGUUGUCAUUGCUGUUUGAAUUGUUUCAAAUAUGGUACUGAAAUUGGAGAAACAUAAUACAAAAGUCUUCCUUGAACAAACACUGGUUUAGUUUCCUGUAAAAAGAAGCAUAUAUUUGUGCAUAGUCUAUGGUGCUUGCAAAUUUAUGAUUAGAACAGCUAGACAAAAUGUAGCCACAGAACUCAUAUCUGCAUUUCAGAAAUAUCUGUUUGCCUAGAGUUGUGGCUCUUGCAGGGGAUUUAAGUAUGCUUAGAAUACCGGCCCAUUCCUUUUUGGAAGGUUAUAAAUAUCAUCCAUUACAUUAUGUACCCCAAUACAAAAUUGAAGUCGUUACUGAACA
rnacentral:lncRNA from 1 species